GACGUAGGGUCCAAGCGUUUGUCCGGAUUUACUGGGCGUAAAGAGCGCGUAGGCGGCUCGGUAAGUGUGAAGUGAAAUCUCUAGGGCUCAACCCAGAAACUGCUUUACAUACUGCCAAGCUGGAGUGAUGAAGAGGUUUGUGGAAUUCCUGGUGUAGCGGUGAAAUGCGUUGAUAUCAGGAGGAACACCCAUGGCGAAGGCAGCAAACUGGUCAUCAACUGACGCUGAGGCGCGAAAGCGUGGGUAGCAAACAGG
rnacentral:rRNA from 1 species